rnacentral:tRNA from 1 species
GGGGGUACAGCUCAGUGGUAGAGCAUUCGACUCCAGAUCGGUAGGUCCCCAGUUCAAACCCGGGUGUCCUCU